GGGGCUGUAAAAUAGGAUUUCGACGGUUGAAAUUUUUCUAAAAAGACAAACAAUGUUUGAAGUUUAACCUUUAAAAUAAAGCAAACAUGCUUUGCUUAAGUUUCUGAAAAUUUACUAUCCUUUAAUUUAAUGGGUUAUAUUUAUUUAAGAAUACUUAAAUAAAUAUUUUAAAUAAUUUUUGUUUAAAUGUUUUAAAUCCUUAUCACUAUUAUUAUACUUUAAGUGUAUACUAAAGAAAAGAUUUUAAGUUAUAUUUUUCAGUCGGAUGUAGGUUCAAGUCCUACCAGCUCCA
rnacentral:tmRNA from 1 species